rnacentral:lncRNA from 1 species
CCUGGCGUUUUGUCGAGAACCUGACAGGCGAGGGCAACUGUCUGCACGAUGUCACCGUAAACACGGAGGGGAUCUCGCCUUUGCUUGGCAGAUAACCCAGUUAACGGUAUAGCUAACGUUACCGAGGCUAAAACUCGAAGCAACAGUGUUCACUCAGUUUGCCAUCAGCGCCAACGAUAACAUUAGUUGGACUAUCGGCGUGAACAACCACCGAGCUAAUCGGCUAAAAGUUGUAAAACGUGCCUCCCGUGAACGGCGAAGGUUGAGAAACGUCCCUACUGUAUUUUCACCGAAUUGUCCGAUAAUGUCUUCGUUAGAACCAGUUUACUGACUGCUGCUGUGGGGGAGCGGUUCUCGUCGGCUGUCAUCAGGUACCGUCCCUCUUCUUCUUCUACCUCUAAUGAGCGACAACGUGCAGCAACGCCCCCUGUCAUUUCUAACUACUAUCAUAUAUUAUAAUAUUUCUUUUAUUGAAACUUUAUCUUUGAAUGAAAAAACGUGAAGUUAUUUGUGUUAAAAAUACAAGUGGGGGAGAGGUGUACGCGUGACUGAUAUGACAGCAAGCGCCACCAAGACAGAAAUAAAGAGAGACAUUAAGAGUAGUAUAAUGGAAAGCUACGCAGAGAGUGUUGUGCCUCACUACCCAGUCCAGUAGAUGGCGGUAAUACGCAAGUGCUAUUGAAAUCCAAAGAAGAAGAGACAGAACGGAAGCGCCUUACGUUCACGUGCACGCUCUACUAGGAAUUGUUUUAAGGCUUGCGCGCGCUGUUCCCAGUAGUUCGAGAAGCUAGUGAUAUUUCGAUAAAGCAAAAACUAGCGAAAAUGUCGAGCACCAGACUCGGAGCGUUUCGGAGUUUUUUAACGGAGAAAUUCAUGAACUUGGCUGUGGAGUUAUUUGAAGAAGUGGAAACUAUUGUGGAGACGUACUACGAGGAAAACAAGCGUCAGAGGACCAUACUACAGAUGGCUCUGAAUCCACAGAUACAGUUAUCAAAGAUAGAUAUUGGUCAACACACUGGAGCCACACCUAAUGUCAAAAAGCAGCCACCACAGCUGAACACAUUGGUGCAACCAACAAGAGCAGAACCACUUCCAAAAAAACAUAAAGAGGAACAAAUUGAAAGUGACAAAAACUCCAAAGCCGAUGACUUGUUGACAACUUGUGUGCAAAGUGACCCAGGAGAAGAAGAGAACAUAAAUAUGCCCUACAUCGUUAACUCCUUCCACAUUCCAGCGGAGGACCCCAAACCUGAUUUUACAGCCAGUCAUUCAGGUGAUGAAGAAGUAAUUUAUGGACACAAGGACAUCUUAACAGACUGCAAUGUAAAAAAUGUAGAUGUUGUUGUAGAAAGUUUAUCUCUGUGUCAGAGUGAAGGGGGAACAACUGAAUGUGGUGAACCUCAAAACAGUCUUAUUUCGGAAAAGACCAAGUCGAAGCAUCUUUCUACCAAACGGACACCAACAAAACCCUGCCUACAGGAAACCAAACUUGAAUUACCAAGGUAA